rnacentral:tRNA from 1 species
UGCUACGUAGCUCAGUUGGUUAGAGCACAUCACUCAUAAUGAUGGGGUCACAGGUUCGAUCCCGUCGUAGCCACCA